rnacentral:snRNA from 1 species
GUGCUCACUUUGGCAGCACUUGAAGUAAAACCGGAGUGAUGCAGAGAAUGGCUUCUGUGGAAGAAUGACAGUCAAAUUCGUGAAAAGUUUCGUCUUUUU